CAGGGGAAGUGGGCUGUUAACACCAGGCUCUCACCUGCUGUCAGACUGGGCUUAGCACAGGAGAGGAGGGAAGGUUUGGAUGGGGUCUGUCAGGCUUGGUCCGACGCCAAGGCAGGACGGAGCACGGUUGCUUCAAGGCAUGUUCCUGCUGGCAGAGCUGAGGGUGCAGCAGUGUGCACGGGAUCCCUGAUGGUAGAUGCAGGGCCCAAUGCCUUUUUUCACUGGACACAAUGGAAAUCUUUCCUAUGAAUGUAAAGGGAACUGCACUGAACAUAAAUUAUCCACCUUGAGGGAUUAGCUAUGGCGUUAAACAUGAAUCACUGAAUUCAAUGGUGCCCUUCCUGCCUCUCUUCUCCUACAUGAGACUUGACCCAGCCUGUGGAAGUGAUGAAAGGAAAGAUUAAUAAGUGGUAGAAUGAAAGAAGAAAGGGAACAAUUAUAUUAUUUUAACUAACAAAUCUCUCAACUACUUGAACCCACUGCUGUCUCUCACAAAAUACUUUCUAAGUGACUUCUGCCCAUUUCAACACUCAGUUUCUCUGUUAACAGCUCCCUCUGCACAGACCAGAAGUAGACUGUGUAGGGCUUGGAUCUGCCCCUCCAGCCACAUGGAGCACAGGGAUUCAUGGAGAAAUCCCCCCAGAGGAUGUGCUCUGUCAGGCUGCUCUCUAAGCCUCCUUCCAUAAUCCUACUUUCCUCCUUGCUAUGUGAUUCCUUGGCUCCCCUAAAGGCUGUGGGCACUGGCAAUUGUGUGCUGACCCCUGUUGAUACUUUCUACUGGAAAAAGUCUAUGGCAUGUUGCUGCUGGGCCACAGUUCCAUGUGAAGGGGCCAAUUUCUUCUUUGGCCUGGCUUGUCCCCAGGACACAUGCUGUCCAGAAAGAAAAUGGAGAGGAGAAAAGGAAGGAGAAAGAGGUUUCUGCUCCCCCAUCAGUGUAGAGAAGGGUAGAGGACAAGUUCCUGGGAUUUUCAAAAGC